rnacentral:rRNA from 1 species
UACGUAGGGUGCGAGCGUUGUCCGGAAUUAUUGGGCGUAAAGAGCUCGUAGGCGGUUUGUCGCGUCGGCCGUGAAAACUUGGGGCUUAACUCCAAGCUUGCGGUCGAUACGGGCAGACUUGAGUUCGGCAGGGGAGACUGGAAUUCCUGGUGUAGCGGUGAAAUGCGCAGAUAUCAGGAGGAACACCGGUGGCGAAGGCGGGUCCUGCUGGCCGAUACUGACGCUGAGGAAGCGAAAGGCGUGGGGAGCGAACGGG